rnacentral:rRNA from 1 species
GGGGAAUCUUGGACAAUGGGGGCAACCCUGAUCCAGCCAUGCCGCGUGUGUGAAGAAGGCCUUCGGGUUGUAAAGCACUUUCAGCAGGGAGGAAGGCUUACCCCUAAUACGGGUGAGUACUUGACGUUACCUGCAGAAGAAGCACCGGCUAAUUUCGUGCCAGCAGCCGCGGUAAUACGAAAGGUGCAAGCGUUAAUCGGAAUUACUGGGCGUAAAGCGCGCGUAGGCGGUGUGUUAAGUCGGAUGUGAAAGCCCAGGGCUCAACCUUGGAAUUGCAUCCGAUACUGGCACGCUAGAGUGCAGUAGAGGGAGGUGGAAUUUCCGGUGUAGCGGUGAAAUGCGUAGAGAUCGGAAGGAACACCAGUGGCGAAGGCGGCCUCCUGGACUGACACUGACGCUGAGGUGCGAAAGCGUGGGGAGCAAAC